rnacentral:rRNA from 1 species
GAUGAACGCUGGCGGCGUGCCUAACACAUGCAAGUCGAGCGUGAUUGUUAGAAGUGGAGGUUUCGGCCAAAGCGACUGACAUGAAAGCGGCGGACGGGUGAGUAACGCGUGGGCAACCUGCCCCAUACAGCGGAAUAGCCACUGGAAACGGUGAUUAAUGCCGCAUAAGACCACGGUGUCGCAUGACACAGCGGUCAAAGAUUUAUCGGUAUGGGAUGGGCCCGCGUCUGAUUAGCUAGUUGGUGAGGUAAUGGCUCACCAAGGCGACGAUCAGUAGCCGACCUGAGAGGGCGGACGGCCACACUGGAACUGAGACACGGUCCAGACGCCUACGGGAGGCAGCAGUGGGGAAUAUUGCACAAUGGGCGCAAGCCUGAUGCAGCAACGCCGCGUGAGUGAAGAAGGCCUUCGGGUCGUAAAGCUCUGUCCUGUGGGAAGAAAAAAAUGGCGGUACCACAGGAGGAAGCCCCGGCUAACUACGUGCCAGCCGCCGCCGUAA